CUACGGAGGCAGCAGUGAGGAAUAUUGGACAAUGGGUGAGAGCCUGAUCCAGCCAUCCCGCGUGAAGGACGACGGCCCUAUGGGUUGUAAACUUCUUUUGUACAGGGAUAAACCUUUCCACGUGUGGAAAGCUGAAGGUACUGUACGAAUAAGCACCGGCUAACUCCGUGCCAGCAGCCGCGGUAAUACGGAGGGUGCAAGCGUUAUCCGGAUUUAUUGGGUUUAAAGGGUCCGUAGGCGGAUCUGUAAGUCAGUGGUGAAAUCUCAUAGCUUAACUAUGAAACUGCCAUUGAUACUGCAGGUCUUGAGUAAGGUAGAAGUAGCUGGAAUAAGUAGUGUAGCGGUGAAAUGCAUAGAUAUUACUUAGAACACCAAUUGCGAAGGCAGGUUACUAUGUCUUAACUGACGCUGAUGGACGAAAGCGUGGGGAGCGAACAGGAUUAGAUACCCUGGUAGUCCACGCUGUAAACGAUGCUAACUCGUUUUUGGGUUUUCGGAUUCAGAGACUAAGCGAAAGUGAUAAGUUAGCCACCUGGGGAGUACGAACGCAAGUUUGAAACUCAAAGGAAUUGACGGGGGCCCGCACAAGCGGUGGAUUAUGUGGUUUAAUUCGAUGAUACGCGAGGAACCUUACCAAGACUUAAAUGGGAAUUGACAGAUUUAGAAAUAGAUCCUCCUUCGGGCAAUUUUCAAGGUGCUGCAUGGUUGUCGUCAGCUCGUGCCGUGAGGUGUUAGGUUAAGUCCUGCAACGAGCGCAACCCCUGUCACUAGUUGCCAUCAUUGAGUUGGGGACUCUAGUGAGACUGCCUACGCAAGUAGAGAGGAAGGUGGGGAUGACGUCAAAUCAUCACGGCCCUUACGUCUUGGGCCACACACGUAAUACAAUGGCCGGUACAGAGGGCAGCUACACAGCGAUGUGAUGCAAAUCUCGAAAGCCGGUCUCAGUUCGGAUUGGAGUCUGCAACUCGACUCUAUGAAGCUGGAAUCGCUAGUAAUCGCGCAUCAGCCAUGGCGCGGUGAAUACGUUCCCGGGCCUUGUACACACCGCCCGUCAAGCCAUGGAAGUCUGGGGUACCUGAAGUCGGUGACCGUAACAGGAGCUGCCUAGGA
rnacentral:rRNA from 1 species